rnacentral:rRNA from 1 species
AUCGAACGCUGGCGGCAGGCUUAACACAUGCAAGUCGAACGAGCGGCGGACGGGUGAGUAAUGGCUGGGAAACUGCCUGAUGGAGGGGGAUAACGAGGGGAAACGGUCGCUAAUACCGCAUACCAUCAGAUGGGCCCAGGUGGGAUUAGCUAGUCGGUGGGGUAAUGGCUCACCAAGGCGACGCUGCCUAGCUGGUCUGAGAGGAUGACCAGCCACACUGGAACUGAGACACGGUCCAGACUCCUACGGGAGGCAGCAGUGGGGAAUCUUGGGCAAUGGGCGCAAGCCUGAUCGAGCAAUGCCGCGUGUGUGAAGAAGGCCUUCGGGUUGUAAAGCUCUUUCAGCGGGGAGGCGUUACUCGCAGAGAAAGCACCGGCUAACUCCGUGCCAGCAGCCGCGGUAAUUC